CUACAUUUCUUGUUGUAAGUUCACUCUUUUUACAGUGUGCCGAUAAAUUAGACUUCUUUAUUGACAUUUUGUCAACUCAGGCGGAAAAAAUUAUUACACCACAGUUGGCCACACGUGUUUGACAUCUUCACUCAAAGUCAAUUCAAAAUUCCCGUAACCAAAAAAUUCACCCAAAAAAAGUAAAUCAAUUAAAAUGCCUUGCUGUAAUUGUGACGAUUGUUCAUCCGACGGCGACUGCUUUCCCCCUGAUUUCGACUCAUUGAAAAAGUGGCACAAAGACUUCAACAACUUGCGGCAGCAAUGGUCCGACUACCAAAUGUGUGGAAAUAAUAAUAACAACAGAACUUCAAAUUGUAAAUGUUGUUGUUGUUGUAAACCAAAACUCGCCAAAGGCCGUUUCGGUCUAGCUUGGAUCUCUGAAACGCCUCAAAAACGAUGUUGUACCCCUUGUGGAUGGCAACUGGAAAUUUGUGACACACCUUCACGCGUUGAAUGUCAGUGUAAGAAAAUGGAACAAUGGGCAAGUUGUCCCCCAGUAGAGGGGUGCAAGUGUUGUCCAUCGAAACCGAAAUGUUGUACACAGAAGCCAAAAUGUUGUACACAGAAGCCUAACUGCUGUACACAGGAACCGAAAUGUUGUACACAGGAACCGAAAUGUUGUACACAGAAGCCUAAGUGUUGUACACAGGAACCAAAAUGUUGUAAAUCGAAGCCUAAAUGUUGUACACCGGAACCUUGCCCAAAACUUCCGUGUUGUUCGAUUAAAGUUAUGCCUUUUACGGCUCGGGAGGAGUGCUGUUGCAAAAACAACAACCAAAACAACUGCAACACUUUUGAUAAAGCGGUCGCAACUGACAAUUGUUGUUGUAGUGAAAAUAAACCUGAUUGUCCUCCGCCGACUGAACAAGCUUGUGUAUGUAAUGAUGAUGAUGAUGACGAUAAUGAUGAUGAGAAAGAAACUAGUGCCAAAAAUGAUACUGAUACUGAUGCUAAUAAUACUCCUACUGUUAAUAAAACGGAUAAGCCACGCAGUCGUUCGAGAAGAAAACGACGAGGCAGAAAAUAAAUAUUCUUUAUUAUUGUCUUGUUUUAAUAAAAAAAAAUAAGAUA